rnacentral:rRNA from 1 species
GUCCAGCAGCCGCGGUAAUACGUAGGUGGCAAGCGUUGUCCGGAUUUACUGGGCGUAAAGGGCUUGUAGGCGGUUCGUUAAGUCCGGUGUGAAAUCUCCCGGCUCAACUGGGAGGGGCCAUUGGAUACUGGCGGACUAGAGGCGGGUAGAGGAAAGCAGAAUUCCCGGUGUAGAGGUGAAAUUCGUAGAGAUCAGGAGGAACACCGGCGGCGAAGGCGGCCUGCUGGGACUCGUCUGACGCUGAGGCGCGAAAGCGUGGGGAGCAAACAGGAUUAGAUACCCUGGUAGUCCACGCCUUAAACGAUGAAUACUCGGUGCUGGGCCGCAAGGUUCAGUGCCAAAGCUAACGCAUUAAGUAUUCCACCUGGGGAGUACGAUCGCAAGGUUGAAACUCAAAGGAAUUGACGG